rnacentral:rRNA from 1 species
ACAAUGGGCGCAAGCCUGAUGGAGCAACACCGCGUGAGUGAAGAAGGGUUUCGGCUCGUAAAGCUCUGUUGUUAAAGAAGAACACGUAUGAGAGUAACUGUUCAUACGUUGACGGUAUUUAACCAGAAAGUCACGGCUAACUACGUGCCAGCAGCCGCGGUAAUACGUAGGUGGCAAGCGUUAUCCGGAUUUAUUGGGCGUAAAGAGAGUGCAGGCGGUUUCUAAGUCUGAUGUGAAAGCCUUCGGCUUAACCGGAGAAGUGCAUCGGAAACUGGAUAACUUGAGUGCAGAAGAGGGUAGUGGAACUCCAUGUGUAGCGGUGGAAUGCGUAGAUAUAUGGAAGAACACCAGUGGCGAAGGCGGCUACCUGGUCUGCAACCGACGCUGAGACUCGAAAGCAUGGGUAGCGAACAGGAUUAGAUACCCUGGUAG